rnacentral:rRNA from 1 species
UACGGAGGGGGCUAGCGUUGUUCGGAAUUACUGGGCGUAAAGCGCGCGUAGGCGGCUUUGUAAGUUAGAGGUGAAAGCCCGGAGCUCAACUCCGGAACUGCCUUUAAGACUGCAUCGCUAGAGUUGUGGAGAGGUGAGUGGAAUUCCGAGUGUAGAGGUGAAAUUCGUAGAUAUUCGGAAGAACACCAGUGGCGAAGGCGACUCACUGGACACAUAUUGACGCUGAGGUGCGAAAGCGUGGGGAGCAAACAGG